rnacentral:rRNA from 1 species
AUUGAACGCUGGCGGCAGGCCUAACACAUGCAAGUCGAGCGGAUGAAGGGAGCUUGCUCCUGGAUUCAGCGGCGGACGGGUGAGUAAUGCCUAGGAAUCUGCCUGGUAGUGGGGGAUAACGUCCGGAAACGGGCGCUAAUACCGCAUACGUCCUGAGGGAGAAAGUGGGGGAUCUUCGGACCUCACGCUAUCAGAUGAGCCUAGGUCGGAUUAGCUAGUUGGUGGGGUAAAGGCCUACCAAGGCGACGAUCCGUAACUGGUCUGAGAGGAUGAUCAAUCACACUGGAACUGAGACACGGUCCAGACUCCUACGGGAGGCAGCAGUGGGGAAUAUUGGACAAUGGGCGAAAGCCUGAUCCAGCCAUGCCGCGUGUGUGAAGAAGGUCUUCGGAUUGUAAAGCACUUUAAGUUGGGAGGAAGGGCAGUAAGUUAAUACCUUGCUGUUAUGACGUUACCAACAGAAUAAGCACCGGCUAACUUCGUG